rnacentral:lncRNA from 1 species
CUGACUUGUGAGAUAUUCCAAAACCAUCUCCCUCCACUAUUAUCCGUAUCUUUGUCAUUGCACUUCUCUAGUCACAGUACCCAUCCUGGGGGGUAAAAUGGAAACCCCAAAAGCCCAAGAAUAGUAAGUAUCCUUAGCAGCAAAGCAUCUGCCUAUUCAUACAGACUAAAAAUUUUUCACAGAGAUAUUAGGAUAUUUAUCCCAGUUCUGGAUUUCACAUUAGCUUUUCAGGCUGUCCUGCUUAUAUUUAAGUUGAAUAAUAUUAAGAAAAAUGAACUUCAAAUAAAACAAACAGUGACUUGACCACCCCAUUGAAAACAUGGUCAAACUCAAACCAUGACUUAGUAACUAAAGUUCAAAAUGUCAGUUGUAUAAUGUGCAGGAUCAAAUAUUACAAGAAAAACAACAUUUUUACUCAAUUGCAUUGACUAAAGAAAACUUUUCAUUAUUAAAUGUGUAUGAAUUGAUAAUUACUACAAACAAAACAAUAUCAUACUCUACAUCUAGACUGGACAGAAAUAAAGCACUGGACAGAAAAGAGUUUCAGCUGCCUCCCUUAGAGAGCUGGGCUUGGGUGGAUACAUUUUAUACAUUUUUGUAUUAUUUUAGAAUAAGGAUUUUUAUGUAAACAAGCAAAGGGAAGGUUAAAACGUUUAAAAUUUUAGGAAAUCAUAACAUCCUUUUGUCACUACUAUCCCAUGUCACUUAUAAAAUAUGCCAGUACUUAGCUUUCUUCAUCAUGCUUAAAUAUGCAAAGGUUCAUUUAUUAAUAUUUGAUAGACAAUUAAGUAUUUUUUGGUCUUUACUUCUCUGUCUCUCCCUUAGAUAAUUCUAAUCCCCCCUCCCCAUAAUAAGAAAAUAAAAACAUUUUGGUGAAUAGUACAUCUGGACAAAAAAUACAACUUGUAUUUUACUUCUGGUACUUUAAAAUACUAUAUUUAGUUGUUGCUUUUGUUAGUUUCAGAAACCUAAAAGAAAAUCUUUCAUUUCCUAAAAGAUAAAAUUUGAUCUAGCCUCUUUAGUAGACUCUAUCAUAGUUCUAUUGUUUGCUGUGUUUAUUUGCUUAAUGAAUUGCGUGAGAACAGUCACUGUAAUGAAGUGUGUGUG